rnacentral:rRNA from 1 species
UACGGAGGGUGCAAGCGUUAUCCGGAUUUAUUGGGUUUAAAGGGUCCGUAGGCGGAUUAAUAAGUCAGUGGUGAAAGCCCGCAGCUUAACUGUGGAACUGCCAUUGAUACUGUUAGUCUUGAGUGUAGUUGAAGUGGCUGGAAUGAGUAGUGUAGCGGUGAAAUGCAUAGAUAUUACUCAGAACACCAAUUGCGAAGGCAGGUCACUAAGUUACAACUGACGCUGAUGGACGAAAGCGUGGGGAGCGAACAGG